rnacentral:piRNA from 2 species
UGAAAAUGAGUUUUCUUUAUGGCUGA